GGCGGCAUGCCUAACACAUGCAAGUCGAACGAAGGCCCUAGCUUGCUAGGUGUCCUUAGUGGCGAACGGGUGAGUAACGCGUGGGGACCUGCCCUGGAGUGGGGAACAACCUUUGGAAACGAAGGCUAAUACCGCAUACGCUCUACGGAGGAAAGGCUUCGUGCCGCUCUUGGAUGGUCCCGCGUCUGAUUAGCUUGUUGGUGGGGUAACGGCCUACCAAGGCGACGAUCAGUAGCUGGUCUGAGAGGAUGAUCAGCCACACUGGGACUGAGACACGGCCCAGACUCCUACGGGAGGCAGCAGUGGGGAAUAUUGGACAAUGGGGGAGACCCUGAUCCAGCAAUGCCGCGUGAGUGAAGAAGGCCUUAGGGUUGUAAAACUCUUUCGCCGGUGAAGAUGAUGACUGUAGCCGGUAAAGAAGCCCCGGCUAACUCCGUGCCAGCAGCCGCGGUAAUACGGAGGGGGCUAGCGUUGUUCGGAUUUACUGGGCGUAAAGCGCACGUAGGCGGCAUAUCAAGUCAGAGGUGAAAGGCCUGGGCUCAACCCGGGAACUGCCUUUGAUACUGGUAUGCUUGAGUUCGGAAGAGGGUAGUGGAAUUCCAAGUGUAGAGGUGAAAUUCGUAGAUAUUUGGAAGAACACCGGUGGCGAA
rnacentral:rRNA from 1 species